UAAUCUCAAACCCUAACUCACACUCACAGAACUAACAGAGCAAGAUAUGUGAAAUUAAAAGGAAAUAGUAAUGGAAAACGGACUAAUUCACCAAGUAUCACUUGUUACAGAGCACGCAACCUGGGCGAUUCGAGAGCCCCAGACCUCUCCCAAAAGUUCACUACACAGCAAUUCGAUAAAAGAUCCCCUUUCUCUACUGACUUUUAUCUAAAACCCUACGACCCGGACCAUUACUUUCUACGACCCGACCCAACUCCUUUUUUAGUUCUUUCCCAAACUGCCCUUGCUCCCCUGUUUCUUCUUUUGUCUUGUAAAAACCUUUACCACCUUUGACUGUUGACCAGUAUUCGUUACAUUACCCGCCUCCCAACGACUGACCUUGUCCUCAAGGUGAAAAUCCGGGAACCGCCUGUUUAUCAUCUCAGCCUCCUCCCAAGUUGCUUCAAACUCUGGCAAUUCGUUCCAUUUCAGCAAUACCUCCAGAUGGCCAGUACCAGGAGCACCUUUAGUUCGCACUGCUAGCACUUGUUCUGGGAACACAUUCAUCUCCAACUCUGAGUUCAACUGGGCAGGAAUUGUGGGGUGUGAAGGUUGAGUUCCCAAUGCCUUUUUUAAUUGUGAUACAUGGAACACAGGGUGCAGCUUGCUCUCUGCAGGCAAAUCGAGCUUGUAAGCUACCUUUCCAAUGCGGGAUAACACCUGAAAUGGACCAUAGAACUUUGCUGCUAAUUUCUCAAACGGCCGCCUGGCCAACGACUUCUGACGAUAUGGCUGGAGUUUGAGGUAUACCCAGUCCCCCACUUCAAAUUCCUCAUCACGUCUUUUAGUAUCAGCAGCCAAUUUCAUCCGCUGCUGUGCCCGUAAUAAAUUCACCCGCAAUUCGUCCACAAUAGCAUCACGUUCCUGCAGAAUUUCUUCCACACUGUGGACAACAGUUACCCCAUGUGGCACACGAACCAGAGGAGGAGGGUCUCGCCCAUAAACCAAUUUAAAUGGUGUGAACCGUGAAGAAGAGUGGGAGGAAGUGUUGUACGAGAAUUCCGCCCAGGGCAACCACUUGGCCCACUGCUUGGGAUGAGCAGAGGCAUAACAGCGUAAAUAUGUCUCAAGAGACUUAUUAAGAAUCUCAGUUUGGCCAUCUGUUUGCGGAUGGUACGAAGUACUUCUUUUCAACUCGGUGCCCUGGAGUUUAAAGAGCUCCUGCCAGAAAUGACUGAGGAAAAUUCUGUCUCUGUCUGAUACAAUGGAGGACGGAAACCCAUGGAGACGUACAAUCUCUUUUACAAACGCUUCAGCAACUGUCACGGCAGUAAACGGAUGUCUUAAUCCAAUAAAGUGACAGUACUUCGUCAUCCUGUCUACUACUACCAACACAGUAUCAAUACCUCGCGACAAGGGCAAACCCUCAAUAAAAUCUAGGGAAAUGUCGCUCCAGAUUGAUGUCGGAAUAGUGAGGGGUUGAAGUAACCCGGCUGGCAGCUUCUGGGAACUUUUCUGUUGCUGACACACUAUGCAAACCCGGACAAACUCAGCCACAUCUUUUCGCAUCCCUGACCAUUGCCACUCACUUGCCAGUCGAAGGUAAGUUUUCAGUUCCCCGGCAUGCCCCCCAACUGGGCUACAAUGAUAUUCGCGUAACAGCAUGUCCUUGAACUUGGACGACUUUGGAAUUACCACUCGACCACGACACAACAAACGUCCUUCCACCACUGUAAACCCAUCUAAUUGAGCCUGACCUUGAACAAUGUUCUCAAUAAUACGUCGUAACACCGGAUCAGCUUGGACCUCCUUAUCGAGCUCCUUCCAGUCCCACCCCAUAGUCGUCAACAAUGAGCCCAGUUCUACUUCACCCACAGAUUUUCGGGAUAAAGCAUCAGCCACCAAAUUAGAACGCCCUGGCUUAAAUUGCACAUCGAAAGAAUAUCCCAUUAACUUGCUCACCCACUUUUGGUAAUCUCCACCAACCUCUGUUUGUUGAGUAAUAUGCCGGAGGCUUUGCUGGUCCGUUCUGACAAUAAAGUGGCGACCCAACAGAUAAUAUUUCCAUCGUUGUAUGGCUAGACAUACGGCCAUAAGUUCUUUCUCAUAGAUGGACUUCUGCCGUGCCCUGGUGCCCAACAAUUUACUGAAGAACGCGAUAGGUUUGUUAUCUUGCAUGAGUACUGCUCCUACCCCAUACCCGGAUGCAUCAGUCUCCAGUACAAACGGUUUACCAAAAUUCGGCAUAGCUAGAACAGGCGGAUGAGUCAUCGCAGCCUUCAAGGAAUUAAACGCCUGUGUAGCCUCAGCAGACCAGCCAAAGUUAUCCUUUCGCAAUUGAUCAGUCAAGGGCCCUGCUAUUUGGGCGUAACCAGCUACAUAUUUUCUGUAAUACCCCGUUAGCCCUAAAAAUCCCCGUAAUUCCUUGAGGGACUUGGGUAUUUCCCACUCCAAAACUGCUUUAAUCUUCUCAUUAUCUACUGCCACCCCUUGUGCUGAAAUGAUAUGGCCCAAAUAGGCUACCUCUGAUUUUCCGAAAGCACAUUUCUUCAAGUUGGCAAACAAACUAUGACUCUCCAAUGUUGCCAGGACCACUGCCAAGUGCUGCUGAUGCUCAGCUUCAGUUUUACUAUACACGAGGAUAUCAUCGAAGAAAACCAAAACGUACUUCCGUAAGUAAGGGCGGAAUACGUCGUUCAUCAAGGAUUGGAAUGUUGCGGGUGCAUUCAUAAGCCCGAAGGGCAUCACAAGGAACUCAUAGUGGCCAUCAUGCGUACGAAACGCUGUUUUGUGAGUGUCCUCGGGGCGGACUAGAAUCUGGUGGUAUCCCGCACGCAGAUCUAAUUUAGAGAAAACCCGAGCACCGUAAAGUUCAUCUAGGAGUUCUUCAAUCACUGGUAUCGGGUACUUGUCAGGUAUCGUAUCCUUGUUCAAGGCUCUAUAAUCGACACAGAACCUCCAUGAGCCGUCCUUCUUACGAACCAAGAGAACAGGACUUGAGAAUGGGCUUGUAGACGGCUUUAUAAUCCCGGCAGCAAGCAUAUCUCGAAUCAUACGUUCAAUUUCGUCCUUCUGGCUAUGGGGGUACCUGUAAGGUCUUACCCCAACUGGAUUACUACCCUCGCGUAAAGUAAUUGCAUGAUCAUGAUUCCGAGGGGGAGGGAGUCCUGUAGGUUCAGCGAAAACAGAAGAGUGCUGUUGCAGCACUGUUUCCAGAAAUGCAGGAAUCUCAGCUCCUAGUGGUGGUGUGGGCACGGCAUCCACCUUUUCUACUUGCUGUAUUUCGAUCCAAUACCCCUGCUUCUCCUUUCGAAGUGUUCGUAGCAUAGUCUUGAGGGACACCUGAGACCUGACCAAUGACUGAUCCCCUAUCAACGUGACAACCUUAUCUCCCACCUUGAAUUGCAUUAUUUGUGUCUUCCAAUUUGUGGUAACAGGUCCCAAUUGUUCGAGCCACUGUACGCCCAGAAUAAUAUCAGUAGUCCCUAAUUCCAAUGGCAAAAAAUCAUCUCGUACCACAAUACCACCAUCCAGUUGCAACACAACGUCUUUGCAAAUACCCUUGCCCUUCACAGUGUCACCAUUUCCCAAGGAUACGCCGAACCCUCCUUCAUCUGUUAUAGGCAACUGCAACUCCAAAGCUUUAGUGAGUGACACGAAAUUGUGGGUAGCUCCCGGAUCAAUUAAAACAAUCACCGCCUUGUCCCCUAACAGCCCUUUUAACUUCAUUGUUUUAGGAUUGGAUAAACCUACUACAGAAUUGAGGGAAACCUCAGGCUGUCCCCUAAUUUCGCCAUGGUCGUCCUCCGUGGGUGAUGGAGGGGGUUCACUGCCAGCAUUCUCAGACCCUUCCCCAUCCUCAUCGUCCAUCAGUAAUACACUUAGUUCACGACGUUUACAACGAUGCCCAGCAACCCAUUUGUCGUCACAUUUAAAACACAGACCCUUGGCACGUUUCUCCUGCAACUCUUUUUCCGACAAACGCUUUACCUCACCCCCAGUCUUGAAUCCACUCUGCCCUGAGUACUUAGGCAUUGUAACAGAAGAUUGUGAGUCGCUGGCGCCUAUUGACCAGUUUUUGACAGCCACGGAUGGAGGCACAGACACCAAGGAUGACACAGCUGAAGGAACUGAGCCCUUGGAAGUGUACGACGCUGUGCUUGAUUUGUACCAACUAACCCCAGAUUUCUUUGUUGUCAUCAAUGUAUUCCGUUCCUCAACACGUAAGGCCAUCUCCAUUGCUUGUUCUAGAUUCAGAGGGCUUAACAAUCUCACUUCAGCCUUAAUAUCAUCUCGCAACCCAUUAAGGAAUUGCCCUAACAACACCUCUUCCGAGAGUCGAUCCAAUGGUGCCGCAGUCUCUAUGAACUUCCUUUGAUACUCCCCAACACUGUUAGUCUGAGCUGUGGCAAGCCAUUGCUCAUACAACGACCCCCCACACAUGGGUCGAAACUGGCGUAAAACGAAAACCUUAAGGUCAGCCCACCUCCGAAUUGGGUGCCUCUUGUUUUCCCACAAGUACCAGCGUAGGGCGUCGCCCUCUAACGCAACCACUACAGCCUCCAAGCGCUCCUCCUCCGAUAAUUUGUAAAACCCAAAAUACCUCUCCACUCGCAUAAUCCACCCAUCAGGGUCGGAGCCAUCAAACAAGGGCAUGUCUAACUUCCGAUAUCGCCAAUGCCCUGGACCACCACCGGACCCUCCGCCACCAUAGUUUCCCCUGUCGUGUGGUGAAAACCCAAACACACUGCCGCUCACAAGCCCAUUGUGCGGGGUGUGGGGUGGACCACGAGACCCAGAAUCACCAUUAUUCACACUUGGUUCAGGUGGGUGGUGAAGCAGCGACUGAAAACCCGUCAAGGUAGAGCGAAUCUCAGCCUGAAAAUUGUCCUGAUCUGUUUUUACCGAGUGAAGGAGCGAGUCAUGAUGUUCACGUACCCGAUUAAUCCGCCCUUCAAGCCGCGAGACUAACGAUUCCAUUUCACCCAUGUGCUUUUGAGCUGUGGCCGCCUGACCCUCCAGCAACAGAUCCACCAAUGACUGUUUCAUGACCCCCACAGCCUUCUCAACGGAGACUGCAACCAACGCCGACAACUUCGCUUCAAGACCCCCAAACGCAUCUUCCAAUUCCUCAACCCUUUGCGAUACGGAUGGAUUCGUAGGUGCCAUGGAUCGUAUCGCUCUGAUACCACUUGUAAAGAACUGUGAUGUAAUCUCAAACCCUAACUCACACUCACAGAACUAACAGAGCAAGAUAUGUGAAAUUAAAAGGAAAUAGUAAUGGAAAACGGACUAAUUCACCAAGUAUCACUUGUUACAGAGCACGCAACCUGGGCGAUUCGAGAGCCCCAGACCUCUCCCAAAAGUUCACUACACAGCAAUUCGAUAAAAGAUCCCCUUUCUCUACUGACUUUUAUCUAAAACCCUACGACCCGGACCAUUACUUUCUACGACCCGACCCAACUCCUUUUUUAGUUCUUUCCCAAACUGCCCUUGCUCCCCUGUUUCUUCUUUUGUCUUGUAAAAACCUUUACCACCUUUGACUGUUGACCAGUAUUCGUUACACUCUUGAUAUACUAGAGUUUGAGAUAUACACACGUUCUAUAAGUGGUUUAUUUGUAUUCUGCAAUAAUAUUUCAAAUACAUCUUAGUUAAAAUUAAUAAAAUUUUGAAAGAGAGAUCACGUGAGAAUUAAAAGAACUGACCAAUAAGGAAGAGGGGACACACGGGGAGACACAAAGAGGGGAUAGAGGAUCCGGACUCUCUUCUUCCCGUGCCAGUUACUCUGUAAAAUAUGAUCAAUCACUGUCGUGCGUUGAGGGACUCGGUGUUAGAAUCAUUCCUUCCAGGUGAUAUUUAACUUCCUUUUUUACAAAGCAAGACUGUAUUUUGAUUGUGAAUUUUUUUGACUUUUAUAUCAAACUGGCCACCCGUUGCAUCAAAAUGUUUCAUUUGACCCACCUAUCUCAUCGGCGACUCAUUUAAACCACAAUAAAUCAAAUAUAUAUCAUUUUACCCACAUCACUAUUUAUAUCUCUUUACUUAAUCAUUUAUCAAAAAUCAACCGUUUAUUUUUUUACUACAAAACCACUUCGAGUACUUUCAUAAUUGUCUCUAGUAUUUAUCAAAAUAAUCUGGAAAUUUCUAAAACAACAUUGCUAUAUAUAUAAAAUAUAUAUAGCUAUAAAUAUAUUUUUAUUUGAUCACUCUAGCUAUGUCG
rnacentral:lncRNA from 1 species